AUAUGUAUUCAGCUAGUGUAAACAUGCACGAUGCUAUCACAGUGAAUGCGAGGCUGACACUGAAGCGUUACCUUUUGUUUCCGCUCUGAGACAUGCCGUGUGACUCACUUCCCCGUGCGUACAAGUUAUCUUAGGUCGGUGUUCAUGAUUCGACUUCUGAGAUUCAGAUCGAGUUCUAGGUAAUUUUUUUUUUAUUGGUUGGUUCGACUUUUAAGAAAUUCAAGUUCUAAUGAGUUCGAGAACCGAGGUACCGCUGUAUUUGGUAUAUAACUUGUCAUUUAAUUGCAAUCAAAUAAUAAUAAUUUCAGUAAUUUAUAAUAAUUUGUUUUGUAUAAAAUGUAAUUUUGUUGUGCAAUUAUCUCCCAAGUCAUGAUCAAGAAAAAUAUUUCCGGUACAGUUUCUCACCAUAUUACACCUAAAGGUAUUCCUUUUGGCCUGCCUGUUCCUGAUCACAGAUCCAUAUGUAUUUUGAGGUUGUUUUUCAGCACAGCAUGUUGGCUGCUGUGGAUCAUGCAAGCUGAAGCUUAGCUGCGGACGGCUGUGUACUUUGGUAGAUAGCCGCUGAUGUGUGCUGUUUCCUGGUGUUUGCAUGGGCGAGGUAUCACCAUAAUGGCAGAGGCUUUUCCAAAGGAACCUGGAAUCUGCUGUCGGUGCCCAAUGUGGAAAACAGACUUGCAGAGGUGGCCGGAUUUCACAAAAUCAUACUGACUGAAUUAAUAUCACAUAUUUAGCUCAGGAAUUCAGUUUUGACGGUAUAAUCACUGGCAUUUCAGAGCAGUCUCUGGCAGAUUUUGCUGACUGUAGGUUUAUUUUGUUUCCCUGGAUACCUAGCAGCAAUUUAUAAAUAACUUAUUUUUCAGCUUGACUACCCAGAGCCAGACUAUUUGUGAUGAUUUGGAGCACUGUUAGCCAAGUAUAAGGUGCUAUAUGCCACUUAAUCUAUGUGUCCUACAUAAGCAAAUACAUAUUUAUUACAUAAAAUUGCCCAGGUCUAUGGUCCAGUGAUAUUUAAAUAAAAGCAGGUGUUAUUUAUGACUUUCAAGCAGAUUUCAGUUUAAUGAGUCCAUUUAUAAAACGUUUGACUACAAUUUUACAUAUAGAUCCAAUAGAGAGAUACUUUGCUCUCUAGAGGUAAAAAUUUAUUUGUGCCCAAGGGCAUUUAACAAGGAAAGGCUUUCUUGAGGUGAAGCAGGGGCGGAAGCGGGCGGGACCACCAACCCUGGGUCCGGGGCUUCCCCAGGAUCGUAAAGGGACUUCCCCCCCGCAAACAAAGGACCCUUUCAUAUAGCGAACACACGUGAAAUCAGUGAUAAUUUCUCCGAAAUUCUAAAGAGCUAGAACGUAUUAAUUACAUUGGAACAGUGACUUGCGAUUUUAUAUAUCUGUCAUUUUUGGUAUACAUUCUUAUUAUGGUGGGUAUAUGGUGUAAGUUUUAAUUUUUAGAAAAAAACCCUGUAAAAUCCCUACAGCAAACUUAAAAUAUAAUACAUAGUAAUGUUUUGAAGUCAAACUAAGCUGUUCCUUUUAUAUUUAAUGGUUUUCCGUUUGAGGAAUUCGCAAAAAACUGCAGUGCAUGAUGGGUAGGAUCUAAAGGCUGUCUAACGUCCUCGUCCGUCUGACUACUGUAUAUAGCCCGAUUAUAUGCUGUGGGCCUUUUGUUUGUUUGCAAUUUCGCCAGAUGCCCUGGUUGUACCAAUGCAAGACAAUGGGAUUCUUCAAACCCUAAAGGCUUAUCGAAAAACUACAGUUUGAGUAGAUGCACCAAGGAUAAGGGAAGCCGUGGAAUGCCGCCUUGCAGCCUGAAAUGGACAGGAAGUUUGCCGUUUACCCGCUGCUCUCUGAACACCAGGGGUCCCUUUUGCAGCAACAGUUUCCUGUUCAACUUCCCAGGCUUCCUGUUCCAAGAAUGACCAGACUCCACAAGAAGACACCCUGCUUUACGGAGGAAGAAUACCUCAGCUUGGUUGAAGAGGUCAUUUACUGGCUCCGACAAGCUGAAGUCCAAGAGGACCCAGCGGCUAGAGCCCUCGCCAUCCGGUUGAGGGAAAUCCUAGAGGUGAUUUCCCUGUCUGAGGACUCGCACCUUGCAGAGGAGGUGUGGCAAAACCUGAACCAGCUGAAAGGCUGAAGCAAUGAUAGAGCAGGUAUACCUGGACUGUGAACUGCCUCCUCUCUCACCGUUCGGUUCCCUCCAGCUCCCUGGUUCCCCCUGCCCUUUGCCUCUUCAUUUUAUUCUCUGUUUGUCUGGCCUGGCCCCUUUGUGUUUCUGCCUGGCCACUUCUCCCCUUCAGUUAGUGUUCCCCCCUGUUGGUUUGUCACCUUGUGUUUCUUCGUUGUCCCCUUCCUUGGUGUCUCUGGGUCUUGUGUUUCUGUCCUCGGUUUCCCUGUUUGUGUCUGUUUUGUCAGCUGUUGUCCUGCUAGUCUCUUGUGCCUUUGCUGUUCCCUGUGGUUCGCUGAUGUUUUUGUCUCCCCCAGGUGCUGUUGUGCUCUGAGUCCCGUCAUGUCCGCUGUUUAGUCCCCUUGGUCCCUUCAGGUGUGCCCGGAGUGCGUGCCUUUGAGUGGGGGGGUUCUGUCAUGCGCUGAUCAUUCUGAUCUUCCUGUGUGCCAUGCCCCCUCAUUUACCUCAUGUGGAUUCCUCUUAUCAGCUGUUUCUCGUUAUGUUAAUUAGGUGUAUUUAAGUGAGUUAUUGUGAGUGUCUCCCGAGUCCGGUUAUUAACGUCGUUCCGUGUUCAUGAGUGUGUCUAUUCCAAAUA